rnacentral:rRNA from 1 species
UAAGCGGAGGAAAAGAAACUAACAAGGAUUCCCCUAGUAACGGCGAGUGAACCGGGAAGAGCUCAAAUUUGAAAUCUGGCAGUCUUCGAUUGUCCGAGUUGUAAUCUAUAGAAGCGUUUUCCGUGCUGAACUGUGUCUAAGUCCCUUGGAACAGGGUAUCAAAGAGGGUGACAAUCCCGUACUUGACACAAUCAUCAGUGCUCUGUGAUACGUUCUCUACGAGUCGAGUUGUUUGGGAAUGCAGCUCAAAAUGGGUGGUAAAUUCCAUCUAAAGCUAAAUAUUGGCGAGAGACCGAUAGCGAACAAGUACCGUGAGGGAAAGAUGAAAAGCACUUUGGAAAGAGAGUUAAACAGUACGUGAAAUUGUUGAAAGGGAAACGAUUGAAGUCAGUCGUGUUCAUUGGAUUCAGCCGGUCUUCGGUGUAUUUCCUUUGAACGGGUCAACAUCAGUUUUGUCCGGUGGAUAAAGGUAAUAGGAAGGUGGCUCCUCCGGGAGUGUUAUAGCCUAUUGCCACAUACACUGGGUGAGACUGAGGACUGCAGCUUGCCUUUAUGGCCGGGGUUCGCCCACGUUCAAGCUUAGGAUGUUGACAUAAUGGCUUUAAACGACCCGUCUUGAAACACG